rnacentral:snoRNA from 1 species
AUGGAUGUGAUGAUUUUUUCCCCAGAUGAUUCGAAUCUGAAAUUACUGAGCGCUCUUUUGUGUAUUUUUUUCCCUUGAGGAGAAAAAUCCAAGCCAGAUGUUCUGAUCCGU